AACGUAGGUGGCAAGCGUUGUCCGGAAUUACUGGGUGUAAAGGGAGCGCAGGUGGAUUGACAAGUCGAAUGUGAAAUGCAGAGGCUCAACCUCUGAACUGCGUUCGAUACUGUUGAUCUUGAGUGGAGUAGGGGCAGGCGGAAUUCCCGGUGUAGCGGUGGAAUGCGUAGAUAUCGGGAGGAAUACCGGUAGCGAAGGCGGCCUGCUGGGCUCUAACUGACACUGAGGCUCGAAAGCGUGGGGAG
rnacentral:rRNA from 1 species